rnacentral:rRNA from 1 species
UACAGAGGGGGCCAGCGUUAUUCGGAAUUAUUGGGCGUAAAGGGCGCGUAGGCGGCCAUGCGUGUCUUCCGUGAAAUCCCUCGGCUUAACUGAGGACGUGCGGAAGAAACUGCAAGGCUUGAGUCCGGGAGAGGGGGGUGGAAUUCCCAGUGUAGCGGUGAAAUGCGUACAUAUUGGGAGGAACACCGGUGGCGAAGGCGGCCCCCUGGACCGGUACUGACGCUGAUGCGCGAAAGCGUGGGUAGCAAACGGG